UCCCUGGUGGACUAGUGGUUAGGCCCCAGUACUCUCACUGCUGUGGCCCAGGUUCAAUUCCUGAUCAGGGAA